GCCAUGGUGGUUCAGUGGUAGAACUCUCGCCUUCUUUGUGGAAGACCCAGGUUAGAUUCUGGCCAAUGCA
rnacentral:tRNA from 1 species